rnacentral:rRNA from 1 species
UGGGGAAUAUUGGACAAUGGGCGCAAGCCUGAUCCAGCCAUGCCGCGUGAGUGAUGAAGGCCCUCGGGUUGUAAAUCUCUUUCACCGGUGAAGAUAAUGACGGUAACCGGAGAAGAAGCCCCGGCGAACUUCGUGCCAGCAGCCGCGGUAAUACGAAGGGGGCUAGCGUUGUUCGGAUUUACUGGGCGUAAAGCGCACGUAGGCGGACUAUUAAGUCAGGGGUGAAAUCCCGGGGCUCAACCCCGGAACUGCCUUUGAUACUGGUAGUCUUGAGUUCGGGAGAGGUGAGUGGAAUUCCGAGUGGAGAGGUGAAAUUCGUAGAUAUUCGGAGGAAGCCCAGUGGCGAAGGCGGCUCACUGGCUCGAUACUGACGCUGAGGUGCGAAAGCGUGGGGAGCAAACAGG